rnacentral:rRNA from 1 species
GCUGGCGGCAGGCCUAACACAUGCAAGUCGAGCGGAUGAAAGGAGCUUGCUCCUGGAUUCAGCGGCGGACGGGUGAGUAAUGCCUAGGAAUCUGCCUGGUAGUGGGGGACAACGUUUCGAAAGGAACGCUAAUACCGCAUACGUCCUACGGGAGAAAGCAGGGGACCUUCGGGCCUUGCGCUAUCAGAUGAGCCUAGGUCGGAUUAGCUAGUUGGUGAGGUAAUGGCUCACCAAGGCGACGAUCCGUAACUGGUCUGAGAGGAUGAUCAGUCACACUGGAACUGAGACACGGUCCAGACUCCUACGGGAGGCAGCAGUGGGGAAUAUUGGACAAUGGGCGAAAGCCUGAUCCAGCCAUGCCGCGUGUGUGAAGAAGGUCUUCGGAUUGUAAAGCACUUUAAGUUGGGAGGAAGGGUUGUAGAUUAAUACUCUGCAAUUUUGACGUUACCGACAGAAUAAGCACCGGCUAACUCUGUGCCAGCAGCCGCGGUAAUACAGAGGGUGCAAGCGUUAAUCGGAAUUACUGGGCGUAAAGCGCGCGUAGGUGGUUUGUUAAGUUGGAUGUGAAAUCCCCGGGCUCAACCUGGGAACUGCAUCCAAAACUGGCAAGCUAGAGUAUGGUAGAGGGUGGUGGAAUUUCCUGUGUAGCGGUGAAAUGCGUAGAUAUAGGAAGGAACACCAGUGGCGAAGGCGACCACCUGGACUGAUACUGA